GACGAACGCUGGCGGCGUGCUUAACACAUGCAAGUCGAACGAGGAGCGAUGGAAGCUUGCUUCUAUCAAUCUUAGUGGCGAACGGGUGAGUAACGCGUAAUCAACCUGCCCUUAAGAGGGGGACAACAGUUGGAACCGACUGCUAAUACCGCAUACGAUCUAACCUCGGCAUCGAGGAAAGAUGAAAGGUGGCCUCUAUGUAUAAGCUAUCACUGAAGGAGGGGAUUGCGUCUGAUUAGCUAGUUGGAGGGGUAACGGCCCACCAAGGCGAUGAUCAGUAGCCGGUCUGAGAGGAUGAACGGCCACAUUGGGACUGAGACACGGCCCAGACUCCUACGGGAGGCAGCAGUGGGGAAUCUUCCGCAAUGGACGAAAGUCUGACGGAGCAACGCCGCGUGAGUGAUGACGGCCUUCGGGUUGUAAAGCUCUGUUAAUCGGGACGAAAGGCCUUCUUGCGAAUAGUGAGAAGGAUUGACGGUACCGGAAUAGAAAGCCACGGCUAACUACGUG
rnacentral:rRNA from 1 species